rnacentral:rRNA from 1 species
UGGGGAAUUUUGGUCAAUGGGGGAAACCCUGAUCCAGCCAUCCCGCGUGUGCGAUGAAGGCCUUCGGGUUGUAAAGCACUUUUGGCAGGAAAGAAACGUCAUGGGUUAAUACCCCGUGAAACUGACGGUACCUGCAGAAUAAGCACCGGCUAACUACGUGCCAGCAGCCGCGGUAAUACGUAGGGUGCAAGCGUUAAUCGGAAUUACUGGGCGUAAAGCGUGCGCAGGCGGUUCGGAAAGAAAGAUGUAAAAUCCCAGAGCUCAACUUUGGAACUGCAUUUUUAACUACCGGGCUAGAGUGUGUCAGAGGGAGGUGGAAUUCCGCGUGUAGCAGUGAAAUGCGUAGAUAUGCGGAGGAACACCGAUGGCGAAGGCAGCCUCCUGGGAUAACACUGACGCUCAUGCACGAAAGCGUGGGGAGCAAACAGGA